UACGAAGGUCCCGAGCGUUGUUCGGAAUCACUGGGCGUAAAGCGCGUGUAGGCGGCUAAGUAAGUCGGGCGUGAAAUCCCACGGCUCAACCGUGGAAGUGCACUCGAAACUGCAUAGCUAGAGUCCUGGAGAGGAAGGUGGAAUGCUUGGUGUAGAGGUGAAAUUCGUAGAUAUCAAGCGGAACACCGGUGGCGAAGGCGACCUUCUGGACAGUGACUGACGCUGAGACGCGAAAGCGUGGGGAGCAAACAGG
rnacentral:rRNA from 1 species